rnacentral:rRNA from 1 species
CAAUUAAAUUACCAAUUGUUCGCCAAACAACUACGAGUAUACUUAAAACUUAAAAGACUUGACGGUGCUUCACCACGCCCUAGAGGAGCCUGUCCAAUAACCGAUAAUCCACGAUUAACCCAACCCCCUCUUGCCAACAGUCUAUAUACCGCCGUCGCCAGCUUACCUUGUAAAAGAAAUAAAGUGAGCUAAAUAGUACUAACACUAAAACGACAGGUCGAGGUGUAACUCAUGAAGGGGCUAAGAUGGGCUACAUUCUCCAACCGAGAAUACGAACAACACUAUGAAACUAGUCUUUAAAGGCGGAUUUAGCAGUAAGAUAAGAAUAAAANGCUUAACUGAACAUAACGCAAUGAAGUGCGUACACACCGCCCGUCAUCCCUGCC